rnacentral:lncRNA from 1 species
CUCUCCACAACAACAGAAAAAUUGAGUUUGAAUAAACAGAUCAAGUAAUGAAAAAGCUCACGCCACUGCGACCAUAUACAAACACAUUUGACCAGUCUAACAUUGCAAAAUAUAGCUUGAAAAUUAGAAUGUCUUCUAACGCUCUAGCCCAACAAAUGAAGGUGGAAGGAGAUUGCUGCAAUACCAUAGCUGAGAGGGAGGAAGGUCUAAUUGUUGUGGACCAGAGUAUUUACUCUGUCACACGGUUUAUGAGCGGAGAGGCGUGAGCAGGCUUCACAGUCAUGACACCCAGAUCAUCGAUGCCAUAGCAGACCUCACGCUAGCCUCAGCAGGCCUCUAACCUGCAUGUUGUACAAACAGCGUUAUGUGCCUCAAGAAAUUGUAACAAACAGGCCAAAAAAAUAAAAUGGGCAACUGACCGAGUGAAUGCGAUAUGUUUCAUAUUUCACACUUUUUACCUUGCAGAAUAAACCAUAAAGACCUUUCAGGCAAUCUUUUCUUGUAACUAUGGCAUUCUCACAAAGAAAACCUUGGCCUUCAACAGCUCCUCUAUAAUAACAACAGCAUCAGCCUACAUGUUUAGCAAUGUUAUGUGCAUUUAAGAGAUCUUCAAUUGUUCAACAACAAUAAUGACACUAAACAGAGGUAAACCUGAUCUGAAGCGACACAUACAGGGGCAAAAACACAGCAUAAAAGUUCAUCUCCUCCAGCAAGAAUCCUAAAAAGAAAAUAAUUGUUCAACAACAAUAAUGGCACUAAACAGAGGUAAACCUGAUCUGAAGCGAGGCAUACAGGGCAAAAAAACUCACCAUAAAAGUUCGUCUCCUCCGGCAAGAAUCCUAAAAAGAAAGUAAUUCUUAAUUUCCAAAGGCACCAAUAGGAUACAGGAAAAAAA